rnacentral:rRNA from 1 species
UACAGAGGGGGCAAGCGUUGUUCGGAAUUACUGGGCGUAAAGGGCGCGUAGGCGGCCCGCUAAGUCGAACGUGAAAUCCCCGAGCUCAACUCGGGAACUGCGUCCGAUACUGGCGGGCUUGAAUCCGGGAGAGGGAUGCGGAAUUCCAGGUGUAGCGGUGAAAUGCGCAGAUAUCAGGAGGAACACCAAUUGCGAAGGCAGCUCGCUGGGACGUUACUGACGCUGAGACGCGAAAGCGUGGGGAGCAAACAGG